UUGUGUGUGUUGUAAGGGCACACGGUGGAUGCCUUGGCAACUUAAGCCGAUGAAGGACGUGGUAGGCCGCGAUAGGCCUCGGGGAGCUGUCAAACGAGCGUUGAUCCGAGGGUGUCCGAAUGGGGAAACCCAGCUGUCGUUAUGGGCGGUUACCCAUCACUGAACGUGUAUAGGUGGUGUGGAGGUUACGCGGGGAAGUGAAACAUCUCAGUACCCGUAGGAAGAGAAAACAAUUGUGAUUCCGCUAGUAGUGGCGAGCGAACGUGGAUGAUGGCUAAACUGCGUGCGUGUGAUACCCGGCAGGGGUUGCGUGCGUGGGGUUGUGGGAGCAUAACGUCGAGGAUCUGCCGGUUCUUGGUUACGUGAUAGUCGCGCAUGCUAGGUGAAGUGGAUUGGAAUGUCCCGCCGUAGACGGUGAGAGCCCGGUAGGUGAAAGUGUGUGUGUGGUAAUGGUUGUGUUUCCCGAGUAGCAGCGGGCUCGUGGAAUCUGCUGUGAAUCUGCCGGGACCACCCGGUAAGCCUGAAUACUUAAGUUGACCGAUAGCGGAUGAGUACCGUGAGGGAAUGGUGAAAAGUACCCCGGGAGGGGAGUGAAAUAGUACCUGAAACCGUGUGCUUACAAUCCGUCAGAGCGCCCUUGUGUGGUGUGAUGGCGUGCCUUUUGAAGAAUGAGCCUGCGAGUCAGCGGCAUGUCGCGAGGUUAACACGUGUGUGGUAGCCGUAGGGAAACCGAAUCCUAAUGAGGGUGAAUGAGUGGCAUGUCCUGGACCCGAAGCGAAGUGAUCUACCCAUGGCCAGUGUGAAGCAGCUGUAAGAGGUUGUGGAGGCGCGAACCCACUUAGGUUGAAAACUGAGGGGAUGAGUUGUGGGUAGGGGUGAAAGGCCAAUCAAACUUCGUGAUAGCUGGUUCUCCCCGAAAUGCAUUUAGGUGCAGCGUCGUGUGUUUCUUGCCGGAGGUAGAGCUACUGGAUGGUUUAGCGGGACCAACAUCUUAGCGACAUCAGCCAAACUCCGAAUGCCGGUAAGUGAGAGCACGGCAGUGAGACUGCGGGGGAUAAGCUUCGUAGUCGAGAGGGAAACAGCCCAGAUCGCCGGCUAAGGCCCCUAAGCGUGUACUAAGUGGAAAAGGAUGUGGGAUCGCGAAGACAACCAGGAGGUUGGCUUAGAAGCAGCCAUCCUUGAAAGAGUGCGUAAUAGCUCACUGGUCGAGUGGUUCUGCGCCGACAAUGUAGUGGGGCUCAAGUACACCGCCGAAGCCGCGGCRCUCAYAYKUUUGUGUGUGGGUGGGUAGGGGAGCGUCGUGCAUAAUGUGAAGCCGCCGAGUGAUCGUUGUGGUGGAGUGUGUGCGAGUGAGAAUGCAGGCAUGAGUAGCGAAUGAUGAGUGAAAAACUCAUCCGCCGGAUGACCAAGGGUUCCUGGGUUAAGCUAAUCUUCCCAGGGUGAGUCGGGACCUAAGGCGAGGCCGACAGGCGUAGUCGAUGGACAACCAGUUGAUAUUCUGGUACCCGGAUGGAAGCGCCCGUGGUGAAUCAGUGAUACUAACCGCCCUGAAGCCUGAUGGCAGUCUUUUGGAUUGUUGUUGGUGUGGAUGCGUGGGAUCUGAUCUGGUAGUAGCCAAGCGAUGGUGUGACACAGGAAGGUAGCCGAGCCACUGAGUGGAUUGUGGUGUAAGCGUGUAGCCCGCAUGGUAGGUAAAUCCGCUGUGCAUGGUGGGUGAGGCGUGAUGCGUACCCCUUGUUGGGGGAUGUUGGUGAUCCUAUGCUGUCGAGAAAAGCAUCUAGCGAUGUUUCCAUCUGGCCCGUACCCCAAACCGACACAGGUGGUCAGGUAGAGAAUACUAAGGCGAUCGGGUGAACUGUGGUUAAGGAACUCGGCAAAAUGCCCCCGUAACUUCGGGAGAAGGGGGACCACUGCUGGUGACAGACUGGUUUUGAGCUGGUGGUGGUCGCAGAGAAUAGAGGGAAGCGACUGUUUACUAAAAACACAGGUCCAUGCGAAGACGAUAAGUCGAUGUAUAUGGACUGACGCCUGCCCGGUGCUGGAAGGUUAAGAGGACCUGUUAGUCACUUUGGUGGCGAAGCGGAGAAUUUAAGCCCCAGUAAACGGCGGUGGUAACUAUAACCAUCCUAAGGUAGCGAAAUUCCUUGUCGGGUAAGUUCCGACCUGCACGAAUGGCGUAACGACUUCCCUGCUGUCUCAACCACAGGCCCGGCGAAAUUGCAGUACGAGUAAAGAUGCUCGUUACGCGCGGCAGGACGAAAAGACCCCGGGACCUUCACUAUAGCUUGGUAUUGAUAUUCGGUUCGGUUUGUGUAGGAUAGGUGGGAGACUGUGAUCACAUGACGCCAGUUSUGUGGGAGUCGUUGUUGAAAUACCACUCUGGUCGUAUUGGAUAUCUKAACCUCGGCCCAUGAUCUGGGUUAGGGACAGUGCCUGGUGGGUAGUUUAACUGGGGCGGUUGCCUCCUAAAGAGUAACGGAGGCGCCCAAAGGUUUCCUCAGCCUGGUUGGCAAUCAGGUGGUGAGUGUAAGUGCACAAGGGAGCUUGACUGUGAGACUGACAGGUCGAGCAGGUACGAAAGUAGGGACUAGUGAUCCGGCACUGGCUUGUGGAAGCGGUGUCGCUCAACGGAUAAAAGGUACCCCGGGGAUAACAGGCUGAUCUUCCCCAAGAGUCCAUAUCGACGGGAUGGUUUGGCACCUCGAUGUCGGCUCGUCGCAUCCUGGGGCUGGAGUAGGUCCCAAGGGUUGGGCUGUUCGCCCAUUAAAGCGGCACGCGAGCUGGGUUUAGAACGUCGUGAGACAGUUCGGUCUCUAUCCGCCGCGCGCGUAGAAACUUGAGAAAGGCUGUCCCUAGUACGAGAGGACCGGGACGGACGUACCUCUAGUGUGCCAGUUGUCACGCCCGUGGCAUGGCUGGUUGGCUACGUACGGAAGGGAUAACCGCUGAAAGCAUCUAAGCGGGAAGCCUGUUUCGAGAUAAGGUUUCAUGAAUCAGGUGCCCUCUAGACUAGGGGGUUGAUAGGCCAGAGCUGGAAGCGUAGUAAUGCGUGUUGAGGUGACUGGUACUAAUGCGCCGAACACACCCAAAACACCCAU
rnacentral:rRNA from 2 species